rnacentral:rRNA from 1 species
UGGGGAAUUUUGGACAAUGGGCGCAAGCCUGAUCCAGCAAUGCCGCGUGCAGGAUGAAGGCCUUCGGGUUGUAAACUGCUUUUGUACGGAACGAAAAGCCUCUCUCUAAUACAGGGGGGUGAUGACGGUACCGUAAGAAUAAGCACCGGCUAACUACGUGCCAGCAGCCGCGGUAAUACGUAGGGUGCAAGCGUUAAUCGGAAUUACUGGGCGUAAAGCGUGCGCAGGCGGUUUUGUAAGACAGUGGUGAAAUCCCCGGGCUCAACCUGGGAACUGCCAUUGUGACUGCAAGGCUGGAGUGCGGCAGAGGGGGGAUGGAAUUCCGCGUGUAGCAGUGAAAUGCGUAGAUAUGCGGAGGAACACCGAUGGCGAAGGCAAUCCCCUGGGCCUGCACUGACGCUCAUGCACGAAAGCGUGGGGAGCAAACAGGAUUAGAUACCCUGGUAGUCCACGCCCUAAACGAUGUCAACUGGUUGUUGGGGAUUUAUUUCUUCAGUAACGAAGCUAA